CCAGACAUAGAGGGAACGAACAAGAGUGCUGCAAAUUGAAGCCGGAGGAAACGAAGUUGAUCGAAGUGGAAAAAGACGAUAUAUAAAAAGGAUGGAGCACCAACCCCAUUCCAGGAAGAGGUCCAGUCUGCCCCGGGUCAGAACCACUUCUAUAGCAACUACACAACUGUGUAUGCACUUAUCAUUAUUGAUAGCCAGUCUGAGCCAGAAGACACAAUGGAGCAAAGCACAGAAUACCUGACUGCGGCACACAUUGUUGCAGAACUCUCUGCAAAAAUAACAAAUACAUCUUGCAGCAGGUUCAAUAUUAAUAGAGCCAGUGUGUGCGAUGGAGCAAUCCGCGGCUUCAAAGGUGCCUCAUUCGAUCCCUCUCAUGAGAUGUCAGUUAAGUUCACUGAUGAUGAGGGACACACUGAGGAUGGAGGGGACAAUGGUGGUCCCAAGCGUGAGUUCCUGACCCUCCUUAUGGAAUGCCUGAGAAUGAAGAAAACAUCACGUCAGCAACUGUUUGUGCCCCAUGGCGGUGUGACUUUCCCAGCCGCUCACUGUCUCAAAAUCUGAUUCUAAAUAUAUAAUGUUCUCUAUAAAGAUAUAACUAAUACACAAUUAUGAAUGUAUAAUA